GAUUACAGGCGUGAGCCACCGCGUGCUGGCCUGGGCUAUUAUUAAUAUAAAAUUUUCAGAAAUUGUAUGCUUUAUGGGAAAUUUCUAGACAAUCAUCAAUGUCUUUGCUGUCCAUGAUAUGUUUAUGAUUCCUGGUGCUCCUUUGCCUAAUAUUAGACAAAAACAGUAUAGUGCUAUCAGUUAUAAUUUGUUAGUUUUUAAAAUGUUAACUUGGUUGCAGCUUUAAUUCUCUAAUGUGAAUCUACUAUCUUCUGGGCCAGGGUUUUUAAUUGAGGAUUCACAUCACUUAACUAUGGAGUUUUAUUAAUAUACAGGUGUCUAGGACCUAAUCCAGAUUUGCUGAAUCUCUUUCCUCAAGUCAAAUAAAAACAAACCCAGACUACGUAAGGAGACUUUAUUGGAGCAGUUAUUGCAAGGGGGUGUGGUAAGGAACUAUUGCCGGGGGAGGUUGCUCUGACCAUAAGAUCUGCAAGUAUCUGAGAGGGUGGGCAAAGUGCUUUUAUUUUGUAGAGAGGAGUAAAUAAGGCUAGAAAGAUCCAGGUAUGGGAAAGUGGAAUGGGAGGGUGGCAUUACAGGAUAGCAGACCCAAGAAUGUCUUAUCCCAAAGCCAGUCUAUUUUCCUCCCACUCCGCCCCCGCUUUUUUUUUUUUUUUUUUUUUUGUGUGUGAGUCUCACUCUGUCAGCAAGGCUGGAGUGCAGUGGCAUGAAUAUGGCUCACUGCAGCCUCAACCUCCUGGGCUCAAGUGAUUCUCCUACCUCAGCCUCCUGACUAGUUGGGUCUACAGGCAUGCACUACUACAUCUGGCUAAUUUUUAAAUUUUUUGUAGAGAUGGAGUCUCACUUUGUUGCCCAGGCUGGUCUUGAAUUCCUGGGCUCAAGAAAUCCUCCAGGCUCGGCUUCCCAAACUAAGGGGAUCACAGGUGUGAGCCACUGCACCUAGCCCAGUCUGUUUCCAGAAGUAGCAGGACUGCCUGCUGGCUCAGGUUGAGGGUGGGCCAAUACUUAGGAGCCUUGGGGGAAGCAGAGAAUAUGAACCAAAGAUUUUGAUUUUGUUCCCAUUUUGUCCAGUGGGGACAAAAGAGUUCAGCUAAUCAUUUAUGAGGCAAAGAAUGGGAAUUUGGAGAGUCUGUCUGACUUGGUCAAGGGUAAACAAGGAGCAUUUGGGAGUCUUAUCCAAGUCAUAUAGGGAAGGGUGGUCUUCACAGUGAGCUGUUUCCUGGAGGGCAGAGUGCGGGGAUUUCUCAGCCUUUGCCGUUUUCCAGAAACACAGGGCUCUCACAAAACUUAACACUGUCAUUUGUUAUAUACUUGGUAUAUUCAUGAUAUAUUAUGUCCAUGUUUGUUAUGUUUUAUAUCUUAAGAUUUUUUUCCCUGAAAAGGUUCACUAAUUUUUAUAAAUUAGAUAUAACAUCUACUUUUCUUUGAAAAUAGGGUCAAUCAUUAUAUUCAUAGAUAUUUUGCCUAAAAAUAUUUUGACUGACUUCAUCUUGUUUUGCAUGCCCCAAAAACUGCAAAUAUUCUUGAGUUGCAUUAUCUUUGUAAUGAACUCUCAUCAUGCCUUUCACUUUUGAUAAUUAUAAGCAGUAUGUUAACCAUAGUCAUUUUAAGUCUUCUGUUAUCUACCAAUAGUGUUCUGUUUUACUCUGAUGCUUCUCUGAAAGGACUUGAAAUCACUUCAAUAAAGAAGGACUGUCUCAGAGCUCCGUGGAAAAGGACUAUGCCAGGUACCUUUGGGUAUAGACUUCUGAUGGCACUACUUAAGCAACUUUGAGACCACAUAAUUGAACUGAGUCAGGAUUUCUAAAACUCUAGUUGAGAAACAGAUGGAUUCAUGAGACUACUAACCUAAGAUUGAGCAGAACAGGAAUUAAUGACAUAGGACUGAAUGAACUGAUGGGGGAUGGUUGUGGGUUUUGCUUGGACUAUUGUUGUUUUAAUGUUCUAUUUUCUGAAUACAUAAAGAGCUCCUUUAUCUUAAGCUAUCUAUAACUCAUAACAAUUUAGUAGACUAUGUUCUUUAAAAUGAACAUUU
rnacentral:lncRNA from 10 species